rnacentral:rRNA from 1 species
AGGGUUCGAUUCUGGCUCAGGAUGAACGCUAGCGACAGGCUUAACACAUGCAAGUCGAGGGGCAGCAUAAAAGUAGCAAUACUUGGUGGCGACCGGCGCACGGGUGAGUAACGCGUAUGCAACCUACCUAUCAGAGGGGAAUAACCCGGCGAAAGUCGGACUAAUACCGCAUAAAACAGGGGCACCGCAUGGUGAUAUUUGUUAAAGAAAUUCGCUGAUAGAUGGGCAUGCGUUCCAUUAGGUAGUUGGUGAGGUAACGGCUCACCAAGCCGACGAUGGAUAGGGGAACUGAGAGGUUGGUCCCCCACACUGGUACUGAGACACGGACCAGACUCCUACGGGAGGCAGCAGUGAGGAAUAUUGGUCAAUGGGCGGGAGCCUGAACCAGCCAAGUCGCGUGAAGGAAAGAAGGAUCUAUGGUUCGUAAACUUCUUUUGCAGGGGAAUAAAGUGCAGGACGUGUCCUGUUUUGUAUGUACCCUGAGAAUAAGGAUCGGCUAACUCCGUGCCAGCAGCUGC